rnacentral:rRNA from 1 species
CGCCAUGCAAGUCGGCCCACGCAUGUGGGUGCCGGCGACACUUUCGAAUUGACGGGGAUACCCUAAAGCCUGUCGCACCAACUCGGUGUGGGAACCCGCUCGAGGGCCCGUGCUAAUUACACGGGGUGGUAACAGACGACAUGGAUACUUUCACGCCGUUGGUGUGGAUACUAUGGGCAAUCCGCAGCGAAGCCUCUAAGUCCGGACGCCGGGAUAUGAGGAACGUUCACAGACUAAGUGGAAGUGGGUGGAGCGUUUGCCGCUCUGCUUAAGAUAUAGUCGGUCCCCUUGGGAAACUAAGGGGGUAAGUACACUGCUUGAAAUUUAAACACGAACGUGCGUGAUUAUAAUCCACAUCUAACGACCCAUCACGGGCGCUGCUUCUUCAAGCGUGGUGACUCACCUUGUUGAUUGAUUGUUUAUUUACGCCAGCAGCGCACCUUCCCUAAAUCUUCAGAGUUAAGGAAGGUGCGCUCCUGUCUCCCCGGUCUCGGAGAACGCUCAUGUUAAAAUUUUGAGACUGUCAAUUGCCUCGCGGCUUGACGGCUCUUAAAACGUUCCGUAGGUGAACCUGCGGAAGGAUCAUUACAGAAAGUAAACGCGGGUCAAACCGCGAACUUCUAAACCUCUGACGAUUGACUCACGUUGCCUCGGCGGGUUCGCCCGCCAGAGGAUACAUCAAAACUCCUGUUUUAACGGUGUUGUCUGAGCUACAAGCAACGAAUCAAAACUUUCAACAACGGAUCUCUUGGUUCUGGCAUCGAUGAGGAACGCAGCGAAAUGCGAUAAGUAGUGUGAAUUGCAGAAUUCAGUGAAUCAUCGAAUCUUUGAACGCACAUUGCGCCCCUUGGCAUCCCAAGGGGCAUGCCUGUUCGAGCGUCAUUUCACCACUCAAGCCCGGCUUGGUGUUGGGCGACGUCCCCUUUGGGGACGCGCCUUGAAACGCUCGGCGGCGUGGCACCGGCUUUAAGCGUAGCAGAAUCUUUCGCUUCGAAAGUCGGAGCCCCGUCUGCCGGAAGACUUACUCGCAAGGUUGACCUCGGAUCAGGCAGGGAUACCCGCUGAACUUAAGCAUAUCAAUAAGCGGAGGAAAAGAAACCAACCAAUCU